CUGGAACCCAAACCAAGUGUGUUUGACAGUACGAACACAUGCGGGAGAGAACUCAUACCGGUGUGGGGUUGGUUAUUGAAAAUGGCUGAUCAUGUUGCGGCAGAAAAGGAAUACCGGGAGAAGCUGCUGCGUAUGGUGAAAAAGGAGGUGAAACAGAUAAUGGAAGAAGCUGUUACAAGAAAGUUUGUGCAUGAAGAAAGUAGCAGCAUAACUUCGUUAUGUG